rnacentral:lncRNA from 1 species
GAGAUCGGCGGGGAGAAAAAGAUUAGGUUGCUGGUCUGUUUUAGGAUAGCAGAGCAGCUUAUUAGGGUUUUUUAUUUAGUUUUUUCCUAAUAACGAAAUGGUGCCAUUUAAGCCUGAUUUAAUGGCUUCAAAAUGUCACCGAAUUGGUCGACCCGAUGAUCCGAUUUGAUUCGGGGAGGAUUCGCGUUUUAAAUGAAGCGGAAAUUUUCGC